ACACACCAAGUUUCAAAUUUGAGUAGCAAUAUGACUUUCUCAAUCUUACUUAGUCGUAGUAAUAACAAUAUAGACAAUUCAAAACAUGGAACAAUAUCAAAAUUAUAACACCUAAUUCCAUUAUAUUUUGAGUUAUGAUUUUUGAGAUACUUCCAAUCCAAACACCCUUUCAGGCUCCCACCUAACCAUUUUUCUCUAAUCUUUUGCCCUCAGUCACAUAAUUUUUUUUCCAUGUCCUAAUCCCGCCGAGCAAACAAUAGUUUUUCCCUCUCAAAUUCUCAAUCUUAGGCUCCCAGUCCCACCUAUGACCUAACCUUCUACUCUUUAAGAACACAAGCUCUUAGUCUCACACUCUCAUCAAGACUCAUCUCUGAUUCUGAGUCUCUCUCUCACAAAGAAAGACUUUCCUCUUAGUCAGUCUCCUUAUCAUCUCCGUUCUCCACCGUGGCUCUGCUGCUAUAUAGUUCUAUCUCUAGGGUAAUUUAAGAGAUUUAGCCUAGCCUAGUAAAGGACUAAAUCUCAAAGAGUUCCUAGUUUUUUAUCAUCAGAUCAAGACAUGGAACUCACAUGAUGUAGAAGGAAUGUUCAUAAUACUCUUGGUGCUAAUUGAAAAGGACACAAAGAAAUUGUAUCUCUCGCCUGCUAUUAAUCUUUACUCCAUAGUCCAUAGUUAGUCAUCCUCACUAUUUCAGGAAUAUCACCAUAUUACCAUUAAAUUAUGUCCAUAUCUUGGACUUCACAAUUCAACCAAAAAUACAAACAACUCACUGGCAACAGUACUUAACCAACUCUAAGCUAAUUCUCUCAGACUUACAACUUCUAGAGAGAGAGAGAUUGAGAGACGAUGGAGGGAAAGGUGGUGAUGAUGUGUGCUGUUAUUGGAUUCCUUGGGCUCUUAUCAGUUAUUCUUGGUUUUGUUGCUGAGUCUACAAGA